rnacentral:rRNA from 1 species
AACGAACGCUGGCGGCGUGGAUAAGACAUGCAAGUCGAACGGGAUUACUUUUGUAGCAAUACAGAAGUAAUUCAGUGGCGAACGGGUGCGUAACACGUGGGCAAUCUGCCGAAAAGUGGGGGAUAGCUCGCCGAAAGGCGAAUUAAUACCGCAUGUGGUGAGGGACGACAUCUUCCUGAAUCCAAAGCCAGGGCAACCUGGCGCUUUUUGAGGAGCCCGCCGGCCUAUCAGCAGUUGGUGAGGUAACGGCUCACCAAGGCUUUGACGGGUAGCUGGUCUGAGAGGACGACCAGUCACACUGGAACUGAGACACGGCCCAGACUCCUACGGGAGGCAGCAGUGGGGAAUCUUGCGCAAUGCACGAAAGUGUGACGCAGCAACGCCGCGUGCGGGAAGACGGCCU